GGGGAAUAUUGCACAGUGGGGGAAACCCUGAUGCAGCGACGCCGCGUGGAGGAAGAAGGUUUUCGGAUUGUAAACUCCUGUCGUUAGGGACGAUAAUGACGGUACCUAACAAGAAAGCACCGGCUAACUACGUGCCAGCAGCCGCGGUAAAACGUAGGGUGCAAGCGUUGUCCGGAAUUACUGGGUGUAAAGGGAGCGCAGGCGGACCAGCAAGUUGGAAGUGAAAACCAUGGGCUCAACCCAUGAAUUGCUUUCAAAACUGCUGGCCUUGAGUAGUGCAGAGGUAGGUGGAAUUCCCGGUGUAGCGGUGGAAUGCGUAGAUAUCGGGAGGAACACCAGUGGCGAAGGCGACCUACUGGGCACCAACUGACGCUGAGGCUCGAAAGCAUGGGUAGCAAACAGGAUUAGAUACCCUGGUAGUCCAUGCCGUAAACGAUGAUUACUAGGUGUUGGAGGAUUGACCCCUUCAGUGCCGCAGUUAACACAAUAAGUAAUCCACCUGGGGAGUACGACCGCAAGGUUGAAACUCAAAGGAAUUGACGGGGGCCCGCACAAGCAGUGGAGUAUGUGGUUUAAUUCGAAGCAACGCGAAGAACCUUACCAGGUCUUGACAUCCGAUGCAUAGUGCAGAGAUGCAUGAAGUCCUUCGGGACAUCGAGACAGGUGGUGCAUGGUUGUCGUCAGCUCGUGUCGUGAGAUGUUGGGUUAAGUCCCGCAACGAGCGCAACCCUUAUUGCCAGUUACUACGCAAGAGGACUCUGGCGAGACUGCCGUUGACAAAACGGAGGAAGGUGGGGAUGACGUCAAAUCAUCAUGCCCUUUAUGACCUGGGCUACACACGUACUACAAUGGCGUUUAACAAAGAGAAGCAAGACCGCGAGGUGGAGCAAAACUCAGAAACAACGUCUCAGUUCAGAUUGCAGGCUGCAACUCGCCUGCAUGAAGUCGGAAUUGCUAGUAAUCGCGGAUCAGCAUGCCGCGGUGAAUACGUUCCCG
rnacentral:rRNA from 1 species